rnacentral:rRNA from 1 species
UCGAGAAUCUUUCUCAAUGGGCGAAAGCCUGAAGGAGCGACGCCGCGUGGAGGAUGAAGGUCUUCGGAUUGUAAACUCCUGUCAUGCGGGAACAAAUUCCGCCGUUAAACAAAUGGUGGAACUGAUAGUACCGCAAGAGGAAGAGACGGCUAACUCUGUGCCAGCAGCCGCGGUAAUACAGAGGUCUCAAGCGUUGUUCGGAUUCAUUGGGCGUAAAGGGUGCGCAGGCUGUGGGGCAAGUCGGAUGUGAAAUCCCGGAGCUUAACUCCGGAACUGCAUUCGAUACUGCCCCGCUGGAGGACUGGAGAGGGGACUGGAAUUCUCGGUGUAGCAGUGAAAUGCGUAGAUAUCGAGAGGAACACCGGUGGCGAAGGCGGGUCCCUGGACAGAUCCUGACGCUGAGGCACGAAGGCCAGGGGAGCAAACGGG